GGGGGGGGGGGGGGGGGGGGCGGGCGGGGGGGGGGGGAGCGGGAGGGGCGGGGGGGGGGGCGGGCGGGGGCGGGGCGCGGGGGAACCUGCCCAUAGGUUCGGAAUAACGCCCGGAAAGGGGGGCCAAUACCGGAUGAUGUCUCCGGGACAACGAUUUAUCGCCUUUGGCUGGGCCCGCAUUGGAUUAGCUCGUUGGUAGGGUAAAAGCCUACCAAGGCGACGGUCCAUAGCUGGUCUGAGAGGAUGAUCAGCCACACUGGGACUGAGACCCGGCCCAGACUCCUACGGGAGGCAGCAGUGGGGAAUAUUGGACAACGGGCGAAAGCCUGAUCCAGCAAUGCCGCGUGAGUGAUGAAGGCCUUAGGGUUGUAAAGCUCUUUUACCCGGGAUGAUAAUGACAGUACCGGGAGAAUAAGCUCCGGCUAACUCCGUG
rnacentral:rRNA from 1 species